UCCGUAGGUGAACCUGCGGAAGGAUCAUUAAAGUUUGCUUAAUUGCAUCACACAUGUUUUUAUAGAGAACUUGCUUGCAAGAACACUAAUAAUUUACUGAGUCAACUUGAAAAAAAUAUCAAAACUUUCAACAACGGAUCUCUUGGUUCUCGCAUCGAUGAAGAACGCAGCGAAAUGCGAUACGUAAUAUGAAUUGCAGAUUUUCGUGAAUCAUCGAAUCUUUGAACGCACAUUGCGCCCUGUGGUAUUCCACAGGGCAUGCCUGUUUGAGCGUCAUUUCUCCCUCAAACCUCUGGUUUGGCGUUGAGUGAUACUCGGUUUACUUGAAAAAUAUGAAAAGCAUAACUAUUAGGUUUUACCAACUCGUUAUACUAAUCUACAAGUUUGACCUCAAAUCAGGUAGGACUACCCGCUGAACUUAAGCAUAUCAAUAAGCGGAGGAA
rnacentral:rRNA from 1 species